AUAACAAUUGUUUUUAGUCAGUGAUGUAUACUUAGUUAUAUAACUAGAAUGUUCUACAUAGACGUCAUUAAUGUUUUAUAACAGUGUUUGAUGAAAGAGAUCCUGACAAACUCUUCAUCUUCGUUCGUUAUUUAAAUGUGUUUAUGUAACAAAACUUGCAUGGAUAAAAGAUUGAUGUAACCAUAAGAAGAUCCCGACUCACCCUUCACUUUCAUUCAUUAUUUAAAUGUGUUUAUGUAAUAAAACUCACAUCGAUAAAAGAUUGAUGUAACAAAAAGGUAUGUGACAUGUAAAUAACUGAAGCAAGCUUAAUUUGGACGACGAGGUCGUCAGAUAUGAAGUCUUACUUCUACAACAAAGAUGGAAUCAAGAGAAAACAGAAAUCUAUUUUACAUCAGAAGAGUAAUUAAUGUG